GGAAUAUUGCACAAUGGGCGCAAGCCUGAUGCAGCCAUGCCGCGUGUAUGAAGAAGGCCUUCGGGUUGUAAAGUACUUUCAGCGGGGAGGAAGGCGGUGAGGUUAAUAACCUUACCGAUUGACGUUACCCGCAGAAGAAGCACCGGCUAACUCCGUGCCAGCAGCCGCGGUAAUACGGAGGGUGCAAGCGUUAAUCGGAAUUACUGGGCGUAAAGCGCACGCAGGCGGUCUGUUAAGUCAGAUGUGAAAUCCCCGGGCUUAACCUGGGAACUGCAUUUGAAACUGGCAGGCUUGAGUCUUGUAGAGGGGGGUAGAAUUCCAGGUGUAGCGGUGAAAUGCGUAGAGAUCUGGAGGAAUACCGGUGGCGAAGGCGGCCCCCUGGACAAAGACUGACGCUCAGGUGCGAAAGCGUGGGGAGCAAACAGGAUUAGAUACCCGGG
rnacentral:rRNA from 1 species